GAUGAACGCUAGCGGCAGGCCUAAUACAUGCAAGUCGAACGGUAAAUGUCCCUUCGGGGGCAUGAGAGUGGCGCACGGGUGCGUAACGCGUAUGCAACCUACCCAAUGCUGUCGGAUAGCCCGGAGAAAUCCGGAUUAACCCGUCAUGAGGAGCUCGAGGGGCAUCCCUUGGGUUUCAAAUAUUCAUAGGCGUUGGAUGGGCAUGCGUGCUAUUAGAUAGUUGGCGGGGUAACGGCCCACCAAGUCGACGAUAGCUAGGGGAUCUGAGAGGACGGUCCCCCANACUGGUACUGAGACACGGACCAGACUCCUACGGGAGCAGCAGUAAGGAAUAUUGGGCAAUGGAGGCAACUCUGACCCAGCCA
rnacentral:rRNA from 1 species